AAAGUAUGAAAAUCUUGAUCUGCCAUACCCUGAUGUGUUGUUAUGUAUUUUUGUCUUCAUAUAUUGAACUCUGAGAGAUUUGACUUUAGUUCUGCAUGCCUCCAAGUUUCUUAUAUAUCCGUGCUCCUUCAUUUUGUAUGUAUUUUGUUCAUACACAUGCCGAUUUCUAUGCGUACCAGACAACUUGGCUUCAAUUGCAUCAUUUGCCCAACAUUGUAUAAAGCAGAAAGUCUCCAUUGAGGACCAAGUGUUCUCCCUUUGUAGCACAUUUUC
rnacentral:lncRNA from 1 species